GGCGCAUGCUGCUCUCGUGCCCUCUGCGAGCUGGAAAUUCGGGAGUCUUGUAGUGGUACGAGCGUGAAGCUGAGCUGAAUCCGACAGCCAUUCGCCAUUACAUGAACCCCUCUGGCUGGUUUGUUGCCCUUUUGGUGCCCUGGAUCCGACUGGAUGAACUGCAUUGUGGAAGUCCUCAUCUGAUGACUCCGCUGAACCGUCCUGUCUAGUAGACGUGUCAUUGCUAUGGGUGGAUGCUUCUGCUUGCUGGAUGCUAUUAUUGGACACUACGCCGUUCCAACAGA